rnacentral:rRNA from 1 species
UACGGGGGGGGCAAGCGUUGUUCGGAAUUACUGGGCGUAAAGGGCUCGUAGGUGGCCAACUAAGUCAGACGUGAAAUCCCCAGGCUCAACCCGGGAACUGCGUCCGAUACUGGCAGGCUUGAAUCCGGGAGAGGGAUGCGGAAUUCCAGGUGUAGCGGUGAAAUGCGUAGAUAUCUGGAGGAACACCGGUGGCGAAGGCGGCAUCCUGGACCGGUAUUGACGCUGAGGCGCGAAAGCCAGGGGAGCAAACGGG